rnacentral:rRNA from 1 species
AUUGAACGCUGGCGGCAGGCCUAACACUUGCAAGUCGAGCGGAGCGGCAGCCGGGUGAAUAAUGUCUAGGAAUCUGCCUGGUAGUUGAGGAUAACGUCCGGAAACGGGCGCUAAUACCGCAUACUAUCAGAUGAGCCUCGGUCGGAUUAGCUAGGGGGUGGGGUAAAGGCCUACCAAGUCGACGAUCGGUAACUGGUCUGAGAGGAUGCACAGUCACACUGGAACUGAGAAACGGUCAAGACUCCUACGGGAGGCAGCAGUGGGGAAUAUUGGACAAUGGGCGAAAGCCUGAUCCAGCCAUGCCGCGUGUGUGAAGAAGGUCUUCGGAGUGUAAAGCACUUUAAGUUGGGAGGCGUUACCAACAGAAUAAGCACCGGCUAACUUCGUGCCAGCAGCCGCGGUAAUUC